GAUGAAGAACGUAGCGAAAUGCGAUAAGUAAUGUGAAUUGCAGAAUUCAGUGAAUCAUCGAAUCUUUGAACGCACAUUGCGCCCGCCAGUAUUCUGGCGGGCAUGCCUGUCUGAGCGUCAUUUCAACCCUCAAGUCCCCUGUGGACUCGGUGUUGGGGACCGGCGAGACAGCCGCGGAUCUUCUUCCGCAGCGAGUCGCCGCCCCCCAAAUGACUUGGCGGCCUCGUCGCGGCCCUCCUCUGCGUAGUAUAGCACACCUCGCAACAGGAGCCCGGCGAAUGGCCACUGCCGUAAAACCCCCCAACUUUUUCAGAGUUGACCUCGAAUCAGGUAGGAAUACCCGCUGAACUUAAGCAUAUCAAUAAGCGGAGGA
rnacentral:misc_RNA from 1 species